UACGUAGGGUGCGAGCGUUAAUCGGAAUUACUGGGCGUAAAGCGUGCGCAGGCGGUUUUGUAAGCCAGAUGUGAAAUCCCCGGGCUUAACCUGGGAAUGGCAUUUGGGACUGCAAGGCUUGAGUGCGGCAGAGGAGACUGGAAUUCCUGGUGUAGCAGUGAAAUGCGUAGAUAUCAGGAGGAACACCGAUGGCGAAGGCAGGUCUCUGGGCUG
rnacentral:rRNA from 1 species